AUGAAGCGAGCCUCGAUACGCGCGUCGAAGCGUCGGCACAUCUCAUCACUACUUCUCUCCUUCCCGGUGAAACAAGCGGACGUUAAAAUGCGACUUGUCGGGGCGGAGAUCUCGGUUCUGUCUCUCCUGAUGAUGAGCCUUCACGGCGCUGCAGCACUGACUCACUCGCUGAAGUAUUUCCUCACUGCGUCCUCUGGAGUCCCAAACUUCCCAGAGUUUGUGAUUGUUGGGCUGCUGGAUGAAGUUGAGUUUAGUCACUAUGACAGUGACACCAAGAGAGCAGAACCCAGACAGGACUGGAUGAGCAGAGUCACAGAGGAUGAUCCUCAGUUCUGGAAGAGGAACACUGAGCUCGCUAUGGACGCCCAGCAGGUCUACAAAGGCCACAUUGAAAUAGCAAAACAACGCUUCAACCAAACUGGAGGUGUCCACAUUUACCAGAGGAUGGUCGGAUGUGAAUGGGAUGAUGAGACCAAUGAGGUCAAGGGUUAUGAUCAGUUUGGUUAUGAUGGAGAAGACUUCAUAUCAUUUGACCUGCAGACAGAGCAAUAUAUCGCUGCAAAACAGCAGGCUGUCCGCAUCAAACAGAAGUGGGAUCAUAACAGAGCUCUGAAAGCACAGAACAAGAACUACCUGACUCAUGUGUGUCCUGAGUGGCUGAAGAAGCACUUGAACUACGGGAGGAGCUCUCUGAUGAGAACCGAGCGUCCCUCGGUGUCUCUCCUCCAGAAGACUCCCUCCUCUCCAGUCAGCUGCCACGCUACAGGUUUCUACCCCGACAGAGCCGCCCUCUUCUGGAGGAAAGAUGGAGAGGAGCUCCAUGAGGACGUGGACCUCGGAGAGAUCCUCCCCAACCACGACGGGACCUUCCAGAUGAGGGUUGACCUGAAACUGUCCUCCGUCCCUGCUGAAGACUGGAGGAGGUACGACUGUGUGUUCCAGCUGUCUGGUGUGGACGAGGACAUCGUCACCAAACUGGACAAGACCAGGACCAACACGGAGAAGCCUGCUGGCUCCACCUUCAUCAUCAUCAUCAUCAUCGCUGUGGCUGUUCUUGUCGUCAUCAUCGCUGCUGUGGUUGGAUUCAAGGUUUACAGAAAGAGGAACGCAAAUAUAAUUUAGCAAAUGCUCUUCUGCUUCUACUGACGGCUCUGAAGAGUCUCUCAGGGACAAACUGAACCCUAAACCUUGAAGUCGGCGUCCUGCACACAGUUUAUGGGUGAAUGUUGCUCUGGAUCAACAAGCGAUGCUCCACAUUCUUCUCCAUAAACU